rnacentral:lncRNA from 1 species
AGCCAAAAGAUCAAAAACAAGUUUGAGUAAUAAAAGUUUCUCUUCUCCAAAAUCUUUCUACUCUUCCAAAAAUUCCCUUAGCCUAAAAGCCUCCCUCCAAAUAUUAAUAGCAAUCCUCUUCCAACAAUCCUCGAGCACCAUAGAUGUUCCCUCUUCCAAACAACACCCCUCAGCUGUUCCCUUUCCUACUCUUGCGCAUAGCCGCUGUUUCUGACUUUUUCCCCCUCUACUGUCAUUAUUUCACCGGAGUCGCAUCAUCAACGUCGAACGAACAGAAAAUCGGUGAUAGUUGUCGAAACUGAUAAAAUUUGUUUCUGCUGAGUUGUGUCGAAAUUGAGAUGUUGAUGUCGUUUGAGGUUUCUGGGCAGAAUCGAGGUUCCGUCGUUGACUCCAUCUUACAGUCUGUUCGUGUUCAACUACAAUGUCGCGUUCUUCUUGUAAACCAGUUGAAAGAUCAUCAAUAUAAUGAAAGGUUUCAAAGGUCCGUUGUCUUCUUCUUUACCAUUUUUCUCGGAAGAUCAUGCUUGAUUAAAUUUCUUAAUAUGUUAUGGUUGUCUCUUUUGAAGCGUUCGUGUUGGUAAAUUUCUGUCGUAUUGUGUGGUGGAAUAUUAUGUGUUCUGUUAAUUUUAUUGUUAAGGAUUGUAAGUGCUUAGGUUUUUUUAACCCCAAAACUAUAAAAAUGAAAAAUGCUAAUUGGUUUGCCGUGGAAAUCCUUUACGUUUGGUUUAUUUCAUGUUCUGGUGUGUCGUUGAAGCUUUGUUUAGUUUAUGGGAUAUUUGCAUCUGUUCUUCCAACCAGUGAAUCAUUUCUCAUGCUAAAAGUUUGUUUUACUAAAAUAAGUGUUUUGUUAUGAAAUCUCCUAUUUAAGGUGAAUGUCUAUAAUUAGAGAGAUUCUAGAGUUCU